rnacentral:lncRNA from 1 species
UAUUGUGAAGUGGGAUAACAUUAAAGCAUUAAGACUAUUAUGUAUAUAGAUUGAUGAUCACAUCUCAUGGAUCAUGGAUAAGGUGUUAUCAAGUCUUAAACAUAGGUAUGAAUAUUAAGAGUAAUAUUUAUACUGGAUUGACCCGCUAUGAGAAUACUAUAUAGAACGUUAUGCAAAGUGUCAUAAGUUAUUCUCAUGGUGAUAAUGGUGUAUACCACCCUUCGACCUGAAACCACU